rnacentral:tRNA from 1 species
GCUCAGUUGGUUGAACGUCCGACUCUUGAUUUUGGCUCAGGUUGUGGUCCCAGGGUCGUGAGUUCGAGCCCCACAUUGGGCU